rnacentral:rRNA from 1 species
GUGGGGAAUCUUAGACAAUGGGCGCAAGCCUGAUCUAGCCAUGCCGCGUGAUCGAUGAAGGCCUUAGGGUUGUAAAGAUCUUUCAGUGGGGAAGAUAAUGACUGUACCCACAGAAGAAGCCCCGGCUAACUCCGUGCCAGCAGCCGCGGUAAUACGGAGGGGGCUAGCGUUGUUCGGAAUUACUGGGCGUAAAGCGCACGUAGGCGGAACAGAAAGUCAGAGGUGAAAUCCCAGGGCUCAACCUUGGAACUGCAGUUGAAACUCCUGUUCUUGAGUUCGAGAGAGGUGAGUGGAAUUCCGCGUGUAGAGGUGAAAUUCGUAGAUAUUCGGAGGAACACCAGUGGCGAAGGCGGCUCACUGGCUCGAUACUGACGCUGAGGUGCGAAAGCGUGGGGAGCAAACAGGAUUAGAAACCCUAGUAGUCC